rnacentral:lncRNA from 1 species
UAGUGGAGGUUCCAAGGACAUUGAAGUCAAUCCAGAGAGUGAGGGAAUCCAGAAGGUUGAGGUUGAAGAGAGUAGAAAUUGCAACCAAAAUCGGUGAGGAUGGUGGAAUCGAAAUUGCGAGGGAAGAAGAAAAGAGCAUCACAGGUCGAAGUAGAGGAGGAAUCAACACUGGUUAAACUGGUUUUGGUUGUACGAACAAAGAAGAAUUAGGGUUUGAGAAGAGAAAGGGAAAAUGGAGUGUACGAACAAAGAAGAAGAAGAUGGAGAUUGGAUGCGCGACUAAGAGAAGAAGAUGGAGAUUGGAUGCGCGACUAAGAGAAGAAGAUGGAGAUUGGAUUCGCGACUAAGAGAAGAAGAUGGAGAUUGGAUGCGCGACUAAGAGAAGAAGAUGGAGAUUGGAUCCGCGACUAAGAGAAGAAGAUGGAGAUUGGAUGCGCGACUAAGAGAAGAAGAUGGAGAUUGGAUCCGUGACUAAGAGAAGAAGAUGGAGAUGGAUCAGCAAAAUGGGUAUGAUAGGGUUUCUUCCUUACAGAAACGGAAAUUGAGAGAUAGGCCAAAGAAGACAAGAGAGCAAGAGAGAAGGGGGGAGGAGAGGGAGACUUGGC